ACCUACAGGCAUAUCACUUUGUGCCAUGAUCUCAUCAGAUUUCACACAAUAAGCAGGGUUGGACCAGUGUGAUAGUUGAAUGGGAGACCUCAAAUAAUGCCUGUUUGUUGCAGGAA
ensembl:rRNA 5S_rRNA 5S ribosomal RNA